rnacentral:rRNA from 2 species
GCAGUCGAACGAACUCUGGUAUUGAUUGGUGCUUGCAUCAUGAUUUACAUUUGAGUGAGUGGCGAACUGGUGAGUAACACGUGGGAAACCUGCCCAGAAGCGGGGGAUAACACCUGGAAACAGAUGCUAAUACCGCAUAACAACUUGGACCGCAUGGUCCGAGCUUGAAAGAUGGCUUCGGCUAUCACUUUUGGAUGGUCCCGCGGCGUAUUAGCUAGAUGGUGGGGUAACGGCUCACCAUGGCAAUGAUACGUAGCCGACCUGAGAGGGUAAUCGGCCACAUUGGGACUGAGACACGGCCCAAACUCCUACGGGAGGCAGCAGUAGGGAAUCUUCCACAAUGGACGAAAGUCUGAUGGAGCAACGCCGCGUGAGUGAAGAAGGGUUUCGGCUCGUAAAACUCUGUUGUUAAAGAAGAACAUAUCUGAGAGUAACUGUUCAGGUAUUGACGGUAUUUAACCAGAAAGCCACGGCUAACUACGUGCCAGCAGCCGCGGUAAUACGUAGGUGGCAAGCGUUGUCCGGAUUUAUUGGGCGUAAAGCGAGCGCAGGCGGUUUUUUAAGUCUGAUGUGAAAGCCUUCGGCUCAACCGAAGAAGUGCAUCGGAAACUGGGAAACUUGAGUGCAGAAGAGGACAGUGGAACUCCAUGUGUAGCGGUGAAAUGCGUAGAUAUAUGGAAGAACACCAGUGGCGAAGGCGGCUGUCUGGUCUGUAACUGACGCUGAGGCUCGAAAGUAUGGGUAGCAAACAGGAUUAGAUACCCUGGUAGUCCAUACCGUAAACGAUGAAUGCUAAGUGUUGGAGGGUUUCCGCCCUUCAGUGCUGCAGCUAACGCAUUAAGCAUUCCGCCUGGGGAGUACGGCCGCAAGGCUGAAACUCAAAGGAAUUGACGGGGGCCCGCACAAGCGGUGGAGCAUGUGGUUUAAUUCGAAGCUACGCGAAGAACCUUACCAGGUCUUGACAUACUAUGCAAAUCUAAGAGAUUAGACGUUCCCUUCGGGGACAUGGAUACAGGUGGUGCAUGGUUGUCGUCAGCUCGUGUCGUGAGAUGUUGGGUUAAGUCCCGCAACGAGCGCAACCCUUAUUAUCAGUUGCCAGCAUUAAGUUGGGCACUCUGGUGAGACUGCCGGUGACAAACCGGAGGAAGGUGGGGAUGACGUCAAAUCAUCAUGCCCCUUAUGACCUGGGCUACACACGUGCUACAAUGGAUGGUACAACGAGUUGCGAACUCGCGAGAGUAAGCUAAUCUCUUAAAGCCAUUCUCAGUUCGGAUUGUAGGCUGCAACUCGCCUACAUGAAGUCGGAAUCGCUAGUAAUCGCGGAUCAGCAUGCCGCGGUGAAUACGUUCCCGGGCCUUGUACACACCGCCCGUCACACCAUGAGAGUUUGUAACACCCAAAGUCGGUGGGG